rnacentral:rRNA from 1 species
UGAAUACGAGAUGCUACGGCGUCGAAGCAGUCUAUGUCAUACUUCCAAGAAAAGCUUGCACUGUCAUAAACAAAUAAUGCCUGUACCAUAACCGACACAGGUGGGUAGGUAGAGUAUACUAAGGGGCGCGAGAUAACUCUCUCUAAGGAACUCGGCAAAAUGACUCCGUAACUUCGGGAGAAGGAGUGCCUUAUUUAUAAGGUUGCAAUAACAAGAUCCAAGCAACUGUUUACCAAAAACACAGGUCUCCGCUAAGUCGUAAGACGAUGUAUGGGGGCUGACGCCUGCCCAGUGCCAGAAGGUUAAAGAAGUUGGUUAGCAUCCGCGAAGCUGAUAACUGAAGCCCUGGUGAACGGCGGCCGUAACAAUAACGGUCCUAAGGUAGCGAAAUUCCUUGUCGGGUAAGUUCCGACCCGCACGAAAGGCGUAAUGAUUUGGAUACUGUCUCGGAGAGGGGCUCGGUGAAAUAGACUUGUCUGUGAAGAUGCGGACUACCUGCACCAUGACAGAAAGACCCUAUGAAGCUUUACUGUAACCUGAAAUUGAAAUGGACUUUACUUGCGCAGUAUAGGUGGGAGGCGUUGAGAAUAUUCUUGCGGGAUUAUUGGAGCCAUCAGUGAGAUACCACUCUUGUAAUGUUAGAUUUCUAACUUUGUAUCAUUAUCUGGUCAAAGAACAGUUUCAGGCGGGCAGUUUGACUGGGGCGGUCGCCUCCUAAACGGUAACGGAGGCGCACAAAGGUUUCCUCUGAACGGGUAGAAAUCGUAUCUAGAGUGUAAAGGCAUAAGGAAGCUUGACUGUGAGACCUACAAGUCGAGCAGGGACGAAAGUCGGUCUUAGUGAUCUGACGGUGCUGAGUGGAAAGGCCGUCACUCAACGGAUAAAAGUUACUCUAGGAUAACAGGCAGAUCUCCCCCAAGAGUUCACAUCGACGGGGAGGUUUGGCACCUCGAUGUCGGCUCAUCGCAUCCUGGGGCGGUAGUACGUCCCAAGGGUUGGGCUGUUCGCCCAUGAAAGCGGUACGCGAGCUGGGUUCAGAACGUCGUGAGACAGUUCGGUCCAUAUCCGGUGUAGGCGUUAGAAUAUUGAGAGGAGCCUUCUUUAGUACGAGAGGACCGAGAAGGACAUACCUCUGGUGUACCAGUUAUCGUGCCAACGGUAAACGCUGGGUAGCUAUGUGUGGAGUGGAUAACCGCUGAAAGCAUCUAAGUGGGAAGCCCACCUCAAGAUAAGUAUUCUCA